rnacentral:misc_RNA from 1 species
GGCAUUGAAGGUGUUACUGGUAUUAAUUGCCUCGAUUGCUUGAUAGCCAAUUCCUCAAGCCUCUGAGUUUGGACAGACAACUGUGGAGCAGUCCGAGUUCUUGAUGGAACCUGAGUCAGUGCUUCAGCCAUAUUGAGACUAGCCAUUACACUUGGAGUCCCAGGUGCUGAAUUAGCAACAGUUUGUACAGCUGAUAAGGAACCACAGCUACUAUUUCCUAUUAUAGUGGGCACCUCUACCAGAGCUGAUGUCCAUCCCUCCCCACCAAUCAAAGCAGAACUACCCACAGGCAAGCUUUGAACAGCCGUGCUCAAUCCAGGAGAUGAAACCCUUCCUAUAUCAGGCACUCCUUGUCUCUCUUCACUCCCAAGUGAGGGAAAAUCCUU